rnacentral:rRNA from 1 species
UACGAAGGAUGCGAGCGUUAUCCGGAUUUAUUGGGUUUAAAGGGUGCGUAGGCGGCCUUAUAAGUCAGUGGUGAAAUCCCAUCGCUUAACGAUAGACGUGCCAUUGAUACUGUAGGGCUUGAGUACAGAUGCCGUUGGCGGAGUGUGUCAUGUAGCGGUGAAAUGCAUAGAUAUGACACAGAACACCGAUGGCGAAGGCAGCUGACGAAACUGUAACUGACGCUGAGGCACGAAAGCGUGGGGAGCAAACAGG